ensembl:misc_RNA Metazoa_SRP Metazoan signal recognition particle RNA
GCCGGACGCGGUGGCGCGUGCCUAUAGUCCCAGCUACUCGGGAGGCUGAGGUGGGAGGAUCGCUUGAGCCCAGGAGUUCUGGGCUGUAGUGCACUCUGCCGAUCAGGUGUUCUCACUAAGUUCGGCAUCAGUAUGGUGACCUCCUGGGAGCGGGGGACCACCAGGUUGCCUAAGGAGGGGUGAACUGGCCCAGGUCGGAAAUGGAGCAGGUCAAAACUCCCGUGCUGAUCAGUAGUGGGAUCGCGCCUGUGAAUAGGCACUGCACUCCAGCCUGGGCAACAUAGCGAGACCCUGUCUCU